AUUCAGCUAACGAGUCCUAAAUAGGUCGAAACGCGCGUUUCGGAU
rnacentral:hammerhead_ribozyme from 1 species